AACGAACGCUGGCGGCAUGCCUAACACAUGCAAGUCGAACGAAGGCUUCGGCCUUAGUGGCACACGGGUGCGUAACGCGUGGGAAUCUGCCCCUUGGUUCGGGAUAACAGUUGGAAACAACUGCUAAUACCGGAUGAUAUCGCGAGAUCAAAGAUUUAUCGCCAGGGGAUGAGCCCGCGUCGGAUUAGCUAGUUGGUGGGGUAAAGGCCUACCAAGGCGACGAUCCGUAGCUGGUCUGAGAGGAUGAUCAGCCACACUGGGACUGAGACACGGCCCAGAGUCCUACGGGAGGCAGCAGUGGGGAUAUUGGACAAUGGGCGAAAGCCUGAUCCAGCAAUGCCGCGUGAGUGAUGAAGGCCUUAGGGUUGUAAAGCUCUUUUACCCGGGAUGAUAAUGACAGUACCGGGAGAAUAAGCCCCGGCUAACUCCGUGCCAGCAGCCGCCGUAA
rnacentral:rRNA from 1 species